UUUGUUGCAUUUAAAUUGCCAAAGGAGCGUGGAAUUGGCCCUGAUAAAUUAUUAUUAGCAAGGUCGAUAAUAUGUAGAUGAUGAAGUUGUCCGAGCUCUAUAGGAAUGUUACCAAAAAACAUAUUUGAGCAUAGUCGGAGUACCUCUAGUUUUUGAAAGUUUUGUGCAAUCCAAGUAGGUAUGCUACCUGAGAAUUUAUUAUCGCCAAGAUCAAGAAAAACCAGUCCACUGCAAUUUUUCAAUGACAACGGAAGAUGCCCAUGUAGACUAUUAUUGUUUAAGUGCAAAGACCGAAGCUGAGUCAACUUUUCAAUAGAGCUAGGAAUUUCUCCCGAGAGCUUAUUAUCUGCUAGAUUAAUGUAGAAAAGGAAGUUUGUCUCUUGCCAACACCAAGGGAUUUCACCUGAUAUUUGGUUGCUCGAUAGAUCGAGGAUGCGAAGUUGUGGCAAGUUGCAGAUAAAUGAUGGUAUGCUCCCAUUGAUAUGGUUAUGUGAGAGAUCCAACAGUUCCAAUUCUAGUGGGAGAGAAAUUGAUGACAACGAUCCCGAAAAGAAAUUAUUUUGCAGAUACAAAUAACUCAAGGAAGGUGGCAAACGAGGAAUAGGGCCUUCAAGCAAAUUCAUACUUAGUUUCAGAGUGGCUAGGUUUGUCAUUUGCUCCAAGAAAGUUGGCAAAGUACCAUUAAUCUGAUUUUGGGAGAGAUUUAUAGAAAAAGCGGAAAUAUUCCAAAACCAAUCGGGCAAGACGUCCUCGAUGCUUGUGUUCGACAAAUCCAAAUCCUCAAUGGAGUUUUGUGAACGGAGCCAUCUUGGAAAUGCAGGCCCCAACUUACAAGACUUCAGUUGAAUGGAUUGGAGUUGAAAAGUGGGAACCCAAUUAUAGUCUACUGAGAUGACUAGGGAGUUUUCAGAUAGAUCGAGCUCACUUAGUUUGGUUAAGCGAGCGAAAUGGAGUUCAGACACGGUGCCCUCUAGGGAAUUACUAGAGAGAGAAAGAAUAUUGAGGUUGCAAAGCUUGCCGAUCUCAGUAGGUAACGAUCCAGAGAGUAAAUUAUUCGUGAGAUUGAUAAGUUCUAGACUAUUCAAAUUUCCAAUCUCAGUGGGUAUGGGACCAGAAAGUGAAUUAUCACUAAGAUGAAGUUCUCUUAGAUCGGCCAAAUUUCCAAUCCCAGCGGGUAUGGCACCAUGAAACAUAGAAAAACUGAGAUCAAGAUAAGAGAGUCUGUGGAGUUUCCAUAGCCAGUUGGGGAUGGUGGAGUUGAAGAGGUUGUCACUGAUGUCCAGAGUGGCCAGUGCUGUGAGGUUGACAUGGGAAAGAGAAGAGGGGAGGUCGGUGAGGCCACAGUCUGAUAAAUGUAGCUCCUCUAGUGAGGACAACAUGUUCACCGCUUGAAGCCAAUCGUGGGAGGCCAUGGAAAGGUUCACAAAGCUCAUGUCGAGGUAUCUCAAGGAAGUGAGACGCGAGAGCCAGUGCAGGCCAUCGGUCGAUAAGUCAUUGUGGCUGAGGUUGAGACGCUCCAAAUGAGUUAGCAGGAGCAAGGAUGGUCUGAUCUCACCUCCGAUAGACAUCUCAUCGUUAUCAGGGUCGGAAUUCUGGAGGUUGAGCUCCACGACAUGGCCGUUGUCACAGACCACCCCGCUCCAUCUGCAGCAGUCUACUCGGCCUUGCCAUGAUGACAAACGGCUGGAAGGAUCCUUGACGAUGCCGGUUUUGAAGUCGAGGAGGGCGUCCCUCUCGCCCUCUACGCACCCCUUCGUCGUCGGCGUUGUUGCCGCCGUGAACAAAAGAAUGCUCGUAAGCCAAAGCCCGAAAGAGAAGUGCCGUGGCACAGGGUGUGUGAUUUUGGUGCAAGAGGCCAUGAUGCUAUUUGGUGAGUGCAUAGUGUACUGAGAGAUGGUAGGCGGUGGAGGACAUGUAUAUAUAGAGUGGGUGGUGUGCGGGCGUGAUGGCCCUCCCAUCCCCAACCCAUCAUAGACUCCUGUGAAACGUGAAGAUUGAUGCGCUGGUAGCGAUAGGCAGAUAAAAAGACUUGACUUCAGUGGGAUUCGACUCCUGCUGGACCUGCAGUGCGUGCAUCGUGUAGCUUACUCAAACUUGGUUUCUACCUCGCCUGGGUCCCAACAACGAAAGAGAUUGGUACUGGAUUUUAAACUUGAAAGAUACGGCCAUUUAAUUGGCCUUGUUGGAUUGCGUAGAAUGUCUCAUUCGGCCCGAAUGCGAUAGUGUGGAAACUAAUUCAUGCCUCCCUCAUUCCACACGGUUUGAUUCUGAUGUCCGCACAUCGGAACGCAUUAUCUUCUCAGCCAAGAUAAAAUGUAUGGAGGCGAUGCAUACCUUAUUCCACGGGUCGGAAUGUCGCCACCACACGUCAAACGUCAUCACGGAAGACAACGUGGAUGAAGACUCCGACACACCGCAAACGAUUCCUCACCCAAUAUAACACGGUAAGCCAUCGCUUUACAUGUAGCGUCCUUCCGAAAGAGGGAGACUCAACGAAGUUUGUAGCGGAACGCACGCUUCGCUUUCACAUGUGUGGAAAUCUUUGUUGGGAACCCAAAGUCACGCAACAAAUUGAUUCGUUUGACACACAAGUGGUGAAGAUGAUGAGGAUUUCCCACCAUUUCUGUGAUGAAUUUUGUGGGUAAUUGUUCCCACACGAGCGAAAGAAAUGGCUGCAUUUCUUUUUAUCUCUUUCGUUUUCUACAAAAUUGCACUUAACAUUAUGCGUAGAGAUAGUCAUCGUCAACCUAGCGAUCCGUAUCUUGAUUGCUACAUAAACUUUGUCAUAUAUGUUAUCCAUAACUUGGAAGUAGAAGAUCCUCCGAUCGUCAAAAGUGUGCAAGAACCAAGAAUAGGUUUUGUUAGUUCUUGCGCGCGUAUGUAACAAGAAAGCAAAGACCGAUGGUCUUGAAAGAGAUUUGCGAACUAAUAUACUGUUCUUGGAAGGACGUGGCCAUUUAAUGGCCCUCCUCGGAUUGGGUUCCACACUGGCUCUACUCCGAAGCCUUGUUAGACCUGCCGUUCAUUGCACACAAUCUUCCGGGCUAUUACUUUGCUGCUUCAAUAAUUCGAAAAAAAGAUAAUUGAAAAUUAGAUGCAAGAGAUGUGAGUUUAAUUUAUGUUCAACAUCAUCAUCAUCACAUCUUUCAUUCUUAAUUGCGAAUUCAUAUGUAAUUUUAGACUAUAUAAAGGCCAUUCUCUGUCUUUACCCAUCGCCUCAGCCUCGGUGGGAUCCCUCCCGUGGCGGCUACCUUUCUCGCAAGCACCGCAAUGGUAGGUUGGGCUGCUCACUCUACUUGCAGUCUAUCGAGUAAACCUCGAUACGAAUCGUCGAUGCGACUUGGUGCAUCGGAAGAUGGAUUUCCGAAACGUGGAGUAAAUCUUGAUUUCGUGAUGGCAAAGGAGAGAAGCCACAUCCAAACCGUGAGAUCGUCACUGCAAAAUGCCAAAGGAACCAUGCAAUGGAUCGCCAAGGACGUCGUCGUACAACAGACAGCGAUCAUACACCCUAAAAAGAAUGGCGCAUCACAGCGCCCAACGAUCAACGUUGCGAAAUAUAAAGAACACCAUGUGAUCACCGACGACAAUGAAAAGAAUCUGUGCAGAAUGGUGAUCUUUAUAUCACACUUCGGCUAAGGAACCACUCGUAGCGAUAACUGAUAACAAUGUUAAAUCAGUGCAGUUUUGUCGUCUCCGAUGGUGCCUGUUUAUGCGAGAGAGAUCUGUGCGGUCAAUGAUGGAAGAAGAAGGAUUCCCAAACCAGACGAGUUGUUCUCGAUGCCUCCUACAUCGGAACAGAAAAAGAGUUUGAGAUUAACAUUUCAUAAUCUUCAAAACGAGAUCCUUUUUGACAGAUGAAAUGGAUCACACUUAUAACACGAAAGAAACUUGCAUCACAUUCGAUCAGCUGCGUCAUGGCAAUUUCGCAUUCUUAUCUUGAUUGCCACAUAAGCUCUGUCGUACAUCUUGUCCACCGUUGCAAAAUAGAAGAGCCUCCAAUCUUUCUUGAACAGCAUGAUCACGAACACACUCCAUAAGCCGACCAAAUAUCCGAGCCCGGUACCAAAGUAAAAUGACAGCACAUGAGAUCCUUGUUCGUACUCCUCUUCUGUCGAAUCGACGUUGGGAUCGUCGGAGCAACUCUUGGUCACCGGAGGUCCACAGAGUUGGACAUUUCCGAUAUAAAUGGAUGCAUCCUCCAGCGUCCGAAGUUGAUUCCCCGAUGGAAUCGCUCCCGAUAGAUUGUUGUAAGACAGAUUCAAGUGGUUCAGAGAAUUCAGCGCCGAAAAGCUUUGAGGAAUGACUCCGGAUAACUUAUUGAAUGACAGAUCCAGAGUUUCCAAUGAUUUCAUGGCACCAAUUGCCGCUGGAAUUUGGCCGACAAAAUUGUUUCUUGAUAGAUUUAAAGUUUGGAGUGUUGAAAGAGACCCAAUUUCGAUGGGGAUUUCUCCGGUCAAAUUAUUGUUUGAAAGGUCUAUAAUGUUGACAAGGUAAAGAAUAAUUGAAAAAUUAUAAUAUCUUCCCUUUAUAGUUAGAGCGAUGCUAUCUUCAUAUUUGUCAAAAGGCAACAAAGCAGGGCGGUCCUUUACAAAGGGACUAUAAAAUACUUGUUUGUCUCGACGAGUCAAAUGCUGUUUCCAACGAGUCAUUGCAGCAUUUAAAUUGCCAAAGGAGUGUGGAAUUGGCCCUGAUAAUUUAUUAUUAGCAAGGUCGAUAACAUGUAGAUAAGCAAGUUGCCCAAGCUCUGCAGGAAUGUUACCGGAAAACAUAUUUGAGCGUAGUCGGAGUACCUCUAGGUCUAGAAAAUUUUGUGCAAUCCACGUAGGUAUGCUACCUGAGAAUUUAUUAUUGCCAAGAUCAAGAAAAACUAGUGCACUGCAAUUUUUCAAUGAUGAUGGAAGAAGCCCAUGUAGUUUAUUAUUGUUUAAGUGGAAAGACUCAAGCCAAAUCAAAUUUUCAAUAGAGCUGGGAAUUUCUCCCGAAAGCUUAUUAUUUGCCAGAUUAAUGGAGGAAAAGUAGUUUGUCUCCUGCCAACACGAAGGGAUUUCACCUGAUAUUUGGUUGCUCGAUAGAUCGAGGAUAUCAAGUCGUCGAGUGUUGCAGAUAAAGGACGGUAUGCUCCCGUUAAUAUGGUUACGUGAGAGAUCCAAGAUUCUCAAUUCUAGUGUGGGAAAGAUCGAUGGCAAUGAUCCUGAAAAAGAAUUACAAGCCAGAUUCAAAUAACGCAAGUAAGAUAGCAAAACCAAGGAAGUUGGCAAAGUGCCGUUAAUUUGAUUUUGGGAGAGAUUUAUAAAAGAAGCAGAGUUAUUCCAAAACCAAUCAGGCAAGACGUCCUCGAUGCUUGUGUUCGACAUAUCCAAAUAUUUAAUGGAGUUUUGUGAACGGAGCCAUCUUGGAAACGCAGGACCCAACUUACAAGAACUCAGUUUAAUGGAUCGGAGUUGAAAAGGAGGAACCCAAUUGUGGUCUAUUGAGAUGACUAGGGAGUUUUCGAAUAGAUCAAGCUCACUUAGUUUGGUUAAGUUAGCGAAAUGGAGUUCAGACAUGGUGCCCUCUAGGGAAUUACUAGAGAGAGAAAGAAUGGUGAGGUUGGAAAGCUUGCCGAUCUCAAUGGGUACGGGACCUGAAAGUGAAUUAUCGUUAAGAUAAAGCUCUCCUAGACCGGUCAAAUUCCCAAUCCCAACAGGUAUGGGUCCAAAGAGUGAAUUAUCAUUAAGAUAAAGCACUCCUAGACUAGUCAACUUCCCAAUCCCAGCAGGUAUGACUCCGAAGAGUGAAUUAUGAUCAAGAUAAAGCUCUCUUAGACCAGCCAUAUUCCCAAUCUCAGCAGGUAUGGGUCCAAAGAGUGAAUUAUGAUCAAGAUAAAGCAUUCUUAGACCAGUCAAAUUCCCAAUCCCAGCAGGUAUGGGUCCAAAGAUUGAAUUAUCACGCAGAUCGAUAAGUUUUAGACUAUUACAAAUUCCAAUCUCAGUGGGUAUGGGACCUGAAAGUGAAUUAUCACCAAGAUAAAGUUCUCUUAGACCAGUCAAAUUUCCAAUCCCAGCGGGUAUGGCACCAUGAAACAUAGAAAAACCGAGAUCAAGAUAAGAGAGGUUGUGGAGUUUCCAUAGCCAGUUGGGGAAGGUGGAGUUGAAGAGGUUGCCAUUGAGAUCGAGAGUGGUCAACGUCGUGAGGUUGACAAGGGAAAGAGAAGGGGGAGGUCGGUGAGGCCACAGUCUUGUAAAUAUAGCUCCUCCAGUGAGGACAAACAUAAGUUGCAGAUUCCCAAUCUCGGCAGGGAUUCGACCCGAAAGUGAAUUGUCGCUGAGGCGUAAUUCCGUAGGACUAGUCAAGCGCCCAAUCUCGGCAGGGAUGGAACCAACAAGGAAGCACUGGACGAGAUUUAGCUGCGACAGACUUGUCGUGUUCCCGAUUUGAGGUAGAAGGGGACUCGUAAAUGAAUUGUGGCUGAGAUCAAGUAUGGUUAGACUAGCCAAACUCCAGAGAUCGACAGGUAUGGAACCGGAAAGCGAGUUGCCGCUAAGGUCGAGCUGCGUGAGACGAGUCAAGUUCCCAAACCAGGCAGGUACGGUCCCAUACGAUUCAGAAUUGCUGAUCGCGAGAUAGGAGAGGCUGUUAGAGUUAGUCAAGUUCCCAAACCCGGCAGGUACGGUCCCAUACGAUUCAGAAUUGCUGAUCGCGAGAUAGGAGAGGCUGUUAGAGUUAAUCCUAAGAAAUUUAUCACAAGAUAAUUUUUGCAACCCAACAAAGACAAUAAAGCGGAAAAGAUAAAAGCGACAAGAACACUAUAUUUACGUGACCGAACUACUAUAAAAAUGACUAUUAUAAAUGCCUUAGGAAGAUGUUCCUAGGCCAUAAAACACCCAAAAAUACUAAACUAGAAAAACUCAAACUAUAAGUCCAAACUAUUUAACUAAGUGUGGACUUAAACCCAAAACUAACACUUAGGUUUUUCUUGUGGUUCCUCUUGUGGUGCUACUUGUGGUGCAUUUGACUUCAAAGCCCAGACCCUUAUUUAUAGUUCCAAUAUGAGAUAACAAACUUGGUUUUCCCGAUGUGGGACUAUGGGACUUGCCAAACUGAAGAGGCUUCGUAAACAUAUCAGCUGGAUUGUCCUUCGUAUGAAUUUUCUGAAUAAGGACCUUUCCCUCAGCAAUGAUAUCCCAUUUGUAUCCAACAAAUUUCUUACCCGAAGGCGACUUCACAAGAUCCUAAGUUCUAUUCUGAUUGAGAGAUUCAAUUUCUUCAUUCAUCGCAAUUAACCACUUAGCGGAAUUAUCAUAAGAAACUGCAUCUGAGUAGGAAGUAGGUUCACCAACUUCACUUGUUUCUUCUGCAACAGACAAAGCAUAUGCAACCAAAUUUGCAUACCUUUAUGGUGGUCGAAUAUCUCUCCGUGGUCUAUCCUUGGCUAUGGAAUAUUGCUCUUCCUCUGGAUUAACUUCGUUAGUAGACUCGGGACCACCUACUGGCAUUCUUUGAGUAGAAGAGUUCGACUUAAAAGAAUCUGAACUAUCAAUCUCAAGCUCCACCUGCUUCUGCGCACUAUCAUUUGUACAACUAGUAGAAUCCUCUUUAAAAGAUAACAUAGAUAAUUUAUCAAAAGUAAUAUCUCUACUAAUUAUAAAUUUUGGAUAUUUGGGAUCAGAACACCAUCUGUAUCUUUUCAUCCCAGAAGCAUACCCAAGGAAAAUGUACUUUUUCGUUCGAGAUUUUAAUUUUCCUUCAUUUAUAUGCAUGUAUGCUGGACACCUAAAAUUUUUAAAUCAGAGUAAUCAGUAAGAAUACCUGACCAUUCCUCUGAAGUUUUAAAGUUAAAUGCUGCAUAAGAACGGGCAUAGUGUGUGCAAGGAAUCCGGCGGAGAACGGGCAUAGUGUGUGCAAGGAAUCCGGCGGGGAAGAGGACGAGAGUCCAAAUGAUCCUCCCAAUCGUGGAAUGCCAUAUAGACUCACCGAUCCUUGUCAAAUUUGACUCCGGACGCCAAGUGGUUCGAGGCCCCCACCGCCUGCUUUCCAAGAAGCUUCCACGGCUGCUGCGAACUGACUCGAAGUGACUUCUCCAUCCUUUCUUCAUUUCCUACUUUUUGAUGGACGGGACGUGUGAGACUGCUACGGAAAUGCCCCAACGUUGACUCGGUCAGUCUUCCUUUUCCAUAAGCACAUGACGUGAAAGCAUGACUGUUUACAUUAAGCGCAUAAUACCGUGGGAUUUUUAUGGCGUUAUCGUCAGCAUAGGUGUUGGCCAAGUCUCAGGUCAUCGGAUUCACGAUUGAAUCGGUGGAUCGAUAUUUAAUANNNNNNNNNNNNNNNNNNNNCCCCAACGUUGACUCGGUCAGUCUUCCUUUUCCAUAAGCACAUGACGUGAAAGCAUGACAGUUUACAUUAAGCGCAUAAUACCGUGGGAUUUUUAUGGCGUUAUCGUCAGCAUAGGUGUUGGCCAAGUCUCAGGUCAUCGGAUUCACGAUUGAAUCGGUGGAUCGAUAUUUAAUAUUAUUUUGAAAAUAAUAUAAUACAUUGUAAUAUAUUAAAAAUAUAAAAUAUAUAACAUAAUAUUAUAUUAUAAUAAUUCAAUUCAUUCUUCACAACAAUAUUAUUACCAGCAUGUUUCAACGAUUAUGUUUCCAUCAUCACAAUACACACAUAAUAUUUACAAAGAUGAAACCAAAAAGAAAGAGUUUGAAAAGCAAUCAUUACAUGAUCUCUAAGAUGAUGUCAGUUUUGAAGAUUCAAACUUAUCAUGGAUACAACAUACAAACACUCCCACUUUUGAUGUCGUCUUCACCCUCAAUCAGUUGUCGAUGAAGCAAUUCUUAUCUUGAUGGCAACAUAAGCUUUAUCAUAUAUUUUAUCAACCAUCUGAAAAUAGAAAACCCUCCAAUUUUUCUUGAACAGCAUGAGUAUAAACAUGCUCCAUAAUCCAACCAAAUAUCCGAGUAUGAUACUCAAAUAAUAUGAUGACAUAAAGGAUCCGUCUUUGUUGUUUUCUUUUGUCACAUUGUUACUUUUAAUACUGUAACAACUCUCGGUGAGGGGAGCUCCACAUAGAUAUGCAUUGCCAAUAUAAAUGGAUGCGUCAUUGAGUGUUUGUAAUUGAUUUCCCGAAGGAAUAACUCCUGAUAGAUUGUUGUAAGACAGAUUCAAGUGAUUCAAAGAAUACAAGUCUGACAAGCUUUGAGGAAUGCCUCCGGAUAACUUAUUAAAUGACAGGUCCAGAGUUUCCAAUGACUUCAUGGCACCAAUUGUCGCUGGUAUUUGGCCGACAAGAUUAUUUCUUGAUAGAUUUAAAGUUUGGAGUGUCGAAAGAGACCCAAUUUCUACUGGGAUUUCUCCUGUCAAAUUAUUAUUUGAAACGUCUAUAAUAUUGACAAGGUAAACAAUGAUCGAAAAGAUGAGACUAUUUCCCUUUAUAGUUAGAGUGAUGCUAUCAUCAUAAGUGCCAUCAAAAUUCGACAAAGCAGAGCGAGUUUUUACUAAUGCAUCAUAAGUUAUAUGUUGGCCUAGACUCGUCAAUUUUCGUUGCCUAUAAGUUUUUGUUGCAUUUAAAUUGCCAAAGGAGCGUGGAAUUGGCCCUGAUAAAUUAUUAUUAGCAAGGUCGAUAAUAUGUAGAUGAUGAAGUUGUCCAAGCUCCGAAGGAAUGUUACCAGAAAACAUAUUUGAGCAUAGCCGGAGUACCUCUAGGUUUUGAAAAUUUUGUGCAAUCCACGUAGGUAUGCUACCUGAGAAUUUAUUAUCGCCAAGAUCAAGAAAAACUAGUCCACUGCAAUUUUUCAAUGACGACGGAAGAUGCCCAUGUAGACUAUUAUUGUUUAAGUGCAAAGACCGUAGCUGAGUCAACUUUUCAAUAGAGCUAGGAAUUUCUCCCGAGAGCUUAUUAUCUGCUAGAUUAAUGUAGAUAAUAAAGUUUGUCUCUUGCCAACACCAAGGGAUUUCACUUGAUAUUUGGUUGCUCGAUAGAUCGAGGAUACGAAGUUGAGUCAAGUUGCAGACAAAUGAUGGUAUGCUCCCACUGAUAUGGUUAUGUGAGAGAUCCAACAGUUCCAAUUCUAGUGGGAGAGAAAUUGAUGACAACGAUCCCGAAAAGGAAUUAUUAUACAGAUACAAAUAACUCAAGUUAGGUGGCAAACGAGGAAUAGGGCCUUCAAGCAAAUUCAUACUUAGUUUCAGAGUGGACAGGUUUGUCAUGUGCUCCAAGAAAGUUGGCAAAGUACCAUUAAUCUGAUUUUGGGAGAGAUUUAUAGAAAAAGCGGGAAUGUUCCAAAACCAAUCAGGCAAGACGUCCUCGAUGCUUGUGUUCGACAUACCCAAAUCGUUAAUGGAGUUUUGUGAACGGAGCCAUCUUGGAAAUGCAGGCCCCAACUUACAAGACUUCAGUUGAAUGGAUUGGAGUUGAAAAGGAGGAAUCCAAUCAUAGCCUACUGAGAUGACUAGGGAGUUUUCGGAUACAUCAAGCUCACUUAGUUUGGUUAAGUUAGCGAAAUGGAGUUCAGAC
rnacentral:lncRNA from 1 species